ACUCCACCCAUCUACCAACCACCAGAGAUAGAAGAAAAGAAAGGUUAUUAAGGAGAGUGGGCCUGUUUAGAAAUAGUUCUUUGAGGUGACUCCAGUCUUCAUUGCUCUCAGUCCAGCCCCCUAGCAAAUAUCCCACACGAGCCAGCAGCUGCAGACCAGUCCACGACGAAUCAGCAAGUGCAGUCCAAUCCAGAAGAAACCGCAAGGCUUGCUGACUGGCCUGAGUCCGUGGAAGGAAGCUCAUGAGAAGUUCUUUGUCGAGUUUCUCUCUAUGAAGCCAAGCUCAGCAACACAAUGAUGUAAGGCGAACAAUACAUGUGUGUCCUUAGUGAAGAUUAGCGAACGAACAAGGCAGAGCAAAGCAAACCAAUGCUUGAGCCCCCACUAUCUGUGGGGUCAUGUUUAUCUUCCAUCUAAACAUCAUGCCUCCUUUCACAUGUCUGCUAUAGCAAAACAUCCUUUCACCUGUGUGCCCCAGCAAAACAUUAUUUGACAUAACUGAAGUUUCUACUUCAAUAGAGAUGCAACGGAGAACUUUGGCAAAUGUUAACUUAUUAUGGAAAUGUCACUUCAAAGGAUUAGCCUGGUGGCCUCCCAUGAAAGGAAUGACCUGUGUUGAUCCCCAGCCUAAUAACUUUUCAUGACAAUAGUCAAAGCAAUAUCUGCCAGGCACUUCAUGUGGGACCGGGAGGCAAGAAAGAACGCAGGUACAACCGUGGGAAAGAAACUGCAAAUGAAACAGUUAAUUCAGAAGAAGUCAGACU
rnacentral:lncRNA from 1 species